GACGAACGCUGGCGGCGUGCUUAACACAUGCAAGUCGAACGGAAAGGCUCCAGCUUGCUGGAGUACUCGAGUGGCGAACGGGUGAGUAACACGUGGGUAAUCUGCCCUGCACUCUGGGAUAAGCCUGGGAAACUGGGUCUAAUACUGGAUAUGACCUUUCUCCUUAUGGGGUUUGGUGGAAAGUUUUUCGGUGUAGGAUGAGCCCGCGGCCUAUCCGCUUGUUGGUGGGGUGAUGGCCUACCAAGGCGACGACGGGUAGCCGGCCUGAGAGGGUGAUCGGCCACAUUGGGACUGAGAUACGGCCCAGACUCCUACGGGAGGCAGCAGUGGGGAAUAUUGCACAAUGGGCGGAAGCCUGAUGCAGCGACGCCGCGUGAGGGAUGACGGCCUUCGGGUUGUAAACCUCUUUCAGCAGGGACGAAGCGUAAGUGACGGUACCUGCAGAGGAAGCACCGGCUAACUAUGUG
rnacentral:rRNA from 1 species